rnacentral:rRNA from 1 species
CCUACGGGAGGCAGCAGUGAGGAAUAUUGGUCAAUGGGCGGAAGCCUGAACCAGCCAAGUAGCGUGCAGGAUGACGGCCCUACGGGUUGUAAACUGCUUUUAUAUGGGAAUAAAAUGUUCCACGUGUGGGAUUUUGUAUGUACCAUAUGAAUAAGGAUCGGCUAACUCCGUGCCAGCAGCCGCGGUAAUACGGAGGAUCCGAGCGUUAUCCGGAUUUAUUGGGUUUAAAGGGAGCGUAGGUGGAUUGUUAAGUCAGUUGUGAAAGUUUGCGGCUCAACCGUAAAAUUGCAGUUGAAACUGGCAGUCUUGAGUACAGUAGAGGUGGGCGGAAUUCGUGGUGUAGCGGUGAAAUGCUUAGAUAUCACGAAGAACUCCGAUUGCGAAGGCAGCUCACUGGACUGCAACUGACACUGAGGCUCGAAAGUGUGGGUAUCAAACAGGAUUAGAUACCCUAGUAGUC